rnacentral:rRNA from 1 species
CCUACGAGUGGCAGCAGUGGGGAAUAUUGCACAAUGGAGGAAACCCUGAUGCAGCAACGCCGCGUGAGUGAUGACGGCCCUCGGGUUGUAAAGCUGUGUCUUCAGGGACGAUAUGACGGUAACGGAGGAGGAAGCCACGGCGAACUACGUGCCAGCAGCAGCGGUAAUACGUAGGUGGGGAGCGUUGUCCGGAUUUACUGGGCGUAAAGGGAGCGUAGGCGGACUUUUAAGUUAGAUGUGAAAUACUCGGGCUCAACUUGGGUGCUGCAUUUCAUACUGUCAGUCUAGAGUGCAGGAGAGGAGAAUGGAAUUCCUAGGGUAGCGGUGAAAUGCGUAGAGAUUAGGAAGAACACCAGUGGCGAAGGCGAUUCUCUGGACUGUAACUGACGCUGAGGCUCGAAAGCGUGGGGAGCAAACAGGAUUAGAUACCCUUGUAGUC